CCUAUCGUAGGCGGCGCCGCGGAGCUCCGAGUCGGCCGGCGCCGCAUUGCCAUGGCGGCCGGCGGCGGCGGCGGCUUUGCCCCAGCCGGCGAGGGACUGCGCUACGCCGAGUACUCGCCGCCCUCCACCAAACGGCCGGACGCGGACAUCGACCGGGGCCUGGCAAGAAGUUUGAUAGCUGUCGGACUAGGUGUUGCAGCUCUUGCAUUUGCAGGUCGCUAUGCAUUUCAAAUUUGGAAACCUCUAGAACAAGUAAUUACAGAAACUGUGAAGAAUAUUUCAUCUCCUAGCCUUUCAUCCUACUAUAAAGGAGGAUUCGAACAGAAAAUGAGUAGGAGAGAAGCUAGUCUUAUUUUGGGUGUAAGCCCAUCUGCUGGCAAGGCCAAGAUCAGAACAGCUCACAGGAAAAUCAUGAUUUUGAAUCACCCAGAUAAAGCAUAAUCAAGACAGAAUAUUUCAAAACUCAGAAGGUUCCUUGGUGCCUCUCCCCAUUGCCAGUCCAUACUCCGGCUGGCAACCACCACUCCACAUUCUGCCAGCAUAGAUUAGGUUUGUCUUUCCUAGCAUUUCAUGUGGAUCUCCUUACUUAGCAACCAAAAUAAAUGAAGCAAAAGACUUGCUAGAAGAAACCACCAAACAGUGAUUGAUGCCCAAGGACCAUUUUGAAGGAAAAGAAGGGGGAACUUUAAAAAAAGUCCUGCAAAUUAAUCAAAACCAUGGCCUUCAAAGUGUUCAUACAUGUACUUACCACAUUCAUUCAUUCCAGGAUUAAGGUAUAUAAUAAAAAAGAUUAAUAGUCUACUUUUGUAUUUUAAAGGAGUAGCUUAAAAUUCUGUAACUGAUAUUUUUUUCUUAUUUUCUUCCUUUCUCUGUGAUAGUCAUAUGUUUUAAGAAUUUUGUUCGGUUAGUCCUAAGUUCCCCCCAUUCCCCUUUCCUAUACAAUGUAAUUGAGACUUAUAAGUAAUGAGUAGAAAUUUUCUUACUGCUUAUAUUUAUACUCACAUUGUCCCUUGUUUCCUCAGAGGAUUUAGUACUUUGCCUAUAUAAGGUGCUUUAAAUGUUUUGAGACCAAACACUGACUGCCUCCCCAUGGGAAAAUGGUCAGAAACAAUGGAGUUUACUAAAUGGUGUUUUGUAAAGUAGUAGUUGGGACUUGUUAAAGAACACUGCUCUCUCUGAGACCCUGUAACAGAAGAAUGAGAACUUGGAGAGCUACUAAAAUGAUUAAAGAUUUACAGAAUGAGCCCUUUGAGGUAAGGCUGAAAAGAGCUGGAAGACGUCUGAGGAAUUUGUAUUUAAUUAUAGUCUUCUGGUACUGUAUAUUACUCAAUUAUUCAUUCUACAAAUUUAUUGACCACCUAUAAUAUGUAAGGUGCUAUAGUGGAUCCUCUGAGAAUUACAGAUGUGAACCAAUUGUAGAUCCUGACCUAAAGGAACUUACAUUUAGAGGAAAGAUAAAUCAUAUGAAUAUUAUUUGAGAGGUACAGAUGAUAAGCUAAAGAAAUUCAAAAGAAAGGAAUAUUUUAAAGUGAGAACAUAAGAGGAACUUUUUAGAAUAUGUGUCAUGAAGUUGAGUUUUAAAUACAAUAAGAGAUCUACCAUAUGAUUCGUGAGUCAGUGUUGUUUUCCCUGAUAUCAGUCAGAAUUAGCAAAAAUAGGAUAUACUGAAUAAUGUAAUGUGAGAGUAGGUUUCUGAAAAGCAAGGGAUGGACACAUGGUCUUGAAGGGCCGGUCCUGUAAUUUACACUGCAUUAAAUUAUUUUCUCAAAACAGCACCCAAUCGUCAUCACUUUACUAUUCCAGAGGUAAGAAAACAGAUUCAGAUAUGGGGUACUGGCAUUAUUUUCCAGAAUCCUUUUACACAUCCUGGGUUUGUAAACCCAGGUAAUUGAACUAUUGUAUUUAAUCUAUCUUAAAAUACUUUUUUAAUACUCUAGAUGCUUCUUUAAAUUUAUGACAUCCGAUGUUCUGGAGUUCCCAGUGUUGGCAGUGCUGACAUAUUGAGCUGAAUGGUUCCUCUGGGGAGCUCUCCUGUGCAUAGCAGGGUGAUUACCAGCCACCCUGUCUGUACCUACUAAGGCCCAGUAACAACCUGUCAGUUGUGAUGACCGAAAACAUUUGCAGAUAUUGCCAAAUGUUCCUUGGAGGGCAAAAUUGUCCCUGGUUGAGAGCCAGUGCUGUGAACAUGAAGUAUUUUUUUCUUUUGUUACAUAAAAUAAUGGCCUGGCUUAAAAUUUAUUGAAUUCUUAGAAUUAAUAAAUAUGGUUCUUGCUUUAAAGUCCU